rnacentral:lncRNA from 1 species
GGUGGCUAGUAGAAUAAAGCCAUAACAGCUGGGACCCCCUGGUAAGACCAUCACCAUGACCCUGCCCUGAGGGAAGGCAGCUACUUGAGAACAAACCCAUAACCACCAUUACAGCUGGAAAGCCCACCAAGACCCUGGUCACCAGGUCCCAUCUGAAACUCCUGGGCUCAAAAGAAGCCCCAGAGAACGCCAAACUGAAAGGCCUUCCUAUUGGCUCCCUGGAAGCUGACAAGUGAAGGUAGAAAAGCAACCAAUCAGAGCAGCAGAGAGCUGAGGUCCCUCCUUAAUAUGGCAAGAGGGGAGGAGGAAAGGCCUGAAAGAGGCAGCCCCAGGGCCCCAAGCACACAUCUCACCCUAUAGCACGCCCACACCCAUGUCUCAGGUAUGUGCUCUUUUUCUUUCUCAUUUCUCAAUAAGUUCUUUUUACUGGUCUCAUUAAACUGGCAUAUCUCUGGAUUCUUACUUGCAGUGAAACCAAGAACCUAGAAACCAAGCACGUUCCACUAACUGAAGGAAUAAAGAGUGAAAAUGCAUUUAAUGGUCCCCGGACUGCUGCCCCAGGAAAGGAUGGCAAUGUCCCAGAAUGGAUGAAGGUCCUGGAGGCAAGGAUUGACUGGGUUCAGAGCAAGUGAUGAAAAACAACAACAAAAGCUGGAUGGACUGGUGAAUGGAUAGAUGGAUGGAAAUGGGAGGACAAACAGACAGAUGGACAGACAAAGGAUGACGUUUCAGUGUUAAUAAAGAUUCUCUCUUUAGGGGAA